AAACUGCAGCUGCCCCAGCAGGCCCCCGCCACAGCCCCUCCGGGGCCCCCACAGCCGACGGCACAGGUGCAAGUGCAGCCCCAGCCGCCUGCACAGCAGCAGAGCCCCCAGCUCACCACUGUCACAGCUCCGCGGCCGGGAGCCCUGCUCACGGGCACCACCGUGGCCAACCUCCAGAUGGCCCGGCUUACUCGUGUUUCCAUGUCCCAACUGCAAGGCCCGGGACAGAUGUCGGCUCUGGCACUUCUGAUGGCCCAGGUUGCUCUUGCAAAGCCCCCGAGAAUCUGUCCCUGCGGCUGUGUCGUCAUCGGGGUCACGGCGGUCGCCAUCAGCAUGCCCAGGAUCAGCGUCGUGAUGGGGCCACCACAGAAGCAGCAGUGCCACAUCUGCCUCAGGAAAUGCGCAGCAGCUACUGAACGAUCGCGCCACCCGUCUGUUCUGUGCAGAAGUCGUUGUUCCGUUGUUUCCGGUACAUUAACUUGGAGGAGGGCCUGCCAGAGCCCCUCCCUUUGCUCCCCUCUCUCGCAGCAAGUGGAGCAGAGCCCACCCUGCCCCCAGGGUAUGAUCGCGGGAGGUGGCACACGGGCGCCUCUCCACGGCGGCAGCGGCGGCGAGCGUUGUCUCGAUGCUCAGGCCCUGCCAUGGAGGCCCCUCUUCGGAGCAGCUGGCAUUGGGCCGGUGUGCUGUGUGCCGUGCUGCGUCUCCUUGUCAUGCAGGAGAACAGAGCGUGGGCGCCCAGCCCCUGCACAUGCAGCCACGCCUGAAGCUCAGGCAACCAGCCAGUGGCCAGGCAGCCGCCGGCAAGCAGGCCCUGCAGCUAGCUUUCUCGGGACCCCACAUUAGGGCCUGAAUUUAUACCCUUUACAUAUUCAAGAGAAUUGCGAAGUGGGAAUGUCAACUGCCAGAGCUUCUGGACCUGAAGUGCCCCCAGGCCUCUGGGAGAAGAACCCACCUCCAGGCCUCGAGGAGCUGCAACCAGCAGACCUCCAGAAUAGGGGCUCAUAAUAGAAAAUCACCAUCCACACUGGGAAGGGCCUGAGGAGUGAGUCAG
rnacentral:lncRNA from 1 species